GAAUAUAACUGGGGCUUGAAUCAGACCGGGGCUGUCAGCGGGUCCACACUUCAUCCACAUUCACCUUAACAAGAGCUAACUGUGUUUGUAUCUGAAUAUCAUCAGAGCUAUAAUCAAUAGCUAUGAGACUAAGAGACGGAGCAGAUAGGAACCAGUUAUGGAGAGAUUUAUUCUGAGAGAAUCAGACCCUGACUGUUCUGAUAAAAUGUUGAUUAAUUCCCUAGGUAAACAUUUUUAGAACUUUAUGCUCUCAGUCUGUUAUCUCAAGUUCUUUCCACACAGCAUGACGUUCAUUUAGUCAAUUAUGGUCCAUUUAGAGUCAGAGACCAGGAAGAGGGGAGGGGUAAUAACAUAUUUACCCUUGGGUACAAAAAUUGUUGCUUGUGGCUCAUAAACCAUAAGAUGAUAACAGAGGACGUCCAUAAAGCAGCAUGUGUCGUCAACAUGCUCUAAAGCCUGUACACUUGCAGAAACACCUUCACCUGAACAUCAUGCUCACCUUAAAAAAGGAAACGCCACAGAGAGAGAGAGAGAGAGAGAGAGAGAGAGAGACGACAAGCCGUACCCAAAACAUAGAAGUUCAAAGGCACAUACAUAAAUUCACAGAUAUAUAUAAAUACUGCACUUAUUCAUUCAGACAUAUCAUCGCUCUCUCACACACACACACACACACGCACAGCGUUCAGCAGAUCCAGCAUAGAGACAGCCUCGGGCGUUCACACAUCAGUAACAUACAGCUAACCCGGCAGCACGUCACCCAGGAUUCUACAUGUUCCAUGUUAACGUGUAUGUGUGUGUGUGUGUGUGUGUGUGUGUGUGUGUGUGUGUGUGUGUGUGUGUGUGUGUGUGUUUGUGCGUGUGUGUGUCUCAGUGUGUGUGUUGAUGUCUUUUCUCUCAGCCUCAUUAAAACAAUGUCCCAGUCAGAUGUCACCUUAAAUAAAUUAUUAUUAUAUUACAUACAUUAAAGGUCACAUAUUCUCCUCCUCUUCUACCAGUGUAACACAAACCCACCUGGGGGAGGGGCUACUGCCCUUUGUGAUGUCAUGAAGGGGAAAUCUCCAAACGGUCUGUUUGAGCACACAUUUUCUGAAAAGUGGAGCAGGUAAAAGACGGCGAGGAUGGACUUUUCUCAUCAUUGGGGGGUUUGUAGACGGACUAGAGACACAUAUUAGAGUUAGA